rnacentral:rRNA from 1 species
UACGGAGGGUGCAAGCGUUAUCCGGAUUCACUGGGUUUAAAGGGUGCGUAGGAGGGCAGGUAAGUCAGUGGUGAAAUCUCCGAGCUUAACUUGGAAACUGCCGUUGAUACUAUCUGCCUUGAAUAUUGUGGAGGUGAGCGGAAUAUGUCAUGUAGCGGUGAAAUGCUUAGAUAUGACAUAGAACACCAAUUGCGAAGGCAGCUCACUACACAAUCAUUGACGCUGAGGCACGAAAGCGUGGGGAUCAAACAGG